CGCGCCUGUCUGCAUCACGAGCCGCGCCUGUCUGUGCCGCGAGCCGAGCCGGUCUUCAACCUCCAAGCCAAGCCGAUCCCUGUCCUUUUUCCAGCCGAGCCGCCAAGCCUAAUUUGGCUCCUUCCACCUAAUUUUUGGGACGUCUUGGACCAAGUAACUGCUGCAGUGUGGGAUUUCUUCAGUAGGGGCUCGAGCAUUGCAACCUCUUUCUAGGUUAGGACCUCGUUGCUUGGAAAGCACACUUGCCUCGCGGUUAGAACUCGCCAAGUAAAUCUCUAG